rnacentral:lncRNA from 1 species
AAAAUGAGCUGAAAACCAGGCAACUAUUAAUUCGCUAUGAGUCAUCUCAGCAAACUGAUGCCAUUAAAGAAGUGUCAGUAAAUUCUUUCGAGCUCAAUCUCUCUUUCACCUGUCGCUCAUCAGUUCCUCCUAACUAAAUCUUGUUCCGAUUCCAUCCGGGUAGGAGAAUCUCCAUCAAUAUUAAAGAGUAAAUUCUCUCUCCACCUAUGAGUGAUUUUAUUUUCUUAGUUUGUGUUUUUUUUUUAAUUUUUGAGGCUCAUAAAUCCAUUGUAAAAUGGUGAGAUCGGUAAAUCUAUGAUACUCGAGUUUGACAUUUUAUUUCUUUUUUUUUUUUAUCUUAAUACCUUGAAUUUGAUAUUUUACUCUUUUUUUUAAAUUUUUUUGUCGAAUGGUGUUUGAAUAGUUUGCAUGCUUGUUUUGAGCUUUAUUAGUUCGAUUCAAACUUCUUGGUUACAUCUGCUUACGUCAGAAGGUUCAAAGGGUCCUCUCUUUGAUGGCUCCUUGUCUCCUUAGUUUUACACCAUCUUCGCUUGCAUGUGCAUCAAUGGUUUGUUGAUCUCUUAUCAGCUAUUUUGGAAAAUUCCUUAAUUGAGAUCUCAAGAUUUUUUAAGAUUUUUUAACCGCUUCUCUUGCGUAUUGGACAGUCGAUCCUAGGGUUACUACAUACUAUUAAGAGCUCUUCUCAGUAUCCUAUUCAUUAGCUCAAGCGAAACCCUUGGCUGCUCUCUUUGUGACUUUUGAGGUUCAUGAUUUUUGGGCGGUUCGCACGGCAACCAAGCUCUGCUUAGCAAGCUAGACUUAUUUUUAUGUUUGGGCCUCAGGCAUUUAUAUUUUUAGCUUGUAUUCGUAGGGGCUUUCAUCUUCUCAUAACUUUGG